rnacentral:lncRNA from 1 species
AUGCCUGAAUGCAGCGCAGCCCGCCGGUCCCGGCUUGGGUUUCCGCUCUUUAUCCUGCUUCUGAUCGCUGCCCUCAGGCCUCGCCGGCCCCUCGCCCCCGCGGCGCGCAGACCCCACCUCUGCCCGCGGCACUGGCUCUCACAGCCGCCGACCCCAGCACCAGGAGGGGCGGCGCGGGGGUCCCCGGGACGGCCACCGAGGGCUCCGCCGCCCACAUUCGACACCCGAUGUAGACACACAUGUGUCUCUAGUGUCUGCAGAGACACGUCGUGUCAUCCCCACAGACAAGCUUCACAAAGUGCGGGUUUUGUGAGAGGACAAACACAUCGCUUCCAGGUUUGGGGAGCUCGGACUGUGCUCGCCAGAACAGGAAGUUCAGUCUGACUUGCCUCAGAAAGAAUGCUGCUACGUGGGUAAGAUACUAGACUACCUGGCAUUGCACUCAGUGCCUGUGUUGGACCAACACACCGGAAUUUAUUCACCUUCGGAAGAAGCAGUCUUACUUUCUGAUGUACAAGCAUCAUUUGUCAAGGCGUAGGUUACCAGGAAGUGGCCACGUUCUUAAGAAGUUCCUUAACGUGAGGCAUUUUCACAUCACAGCUGCCUGGACACGGAAAGGCAACCAUCAUGAUGUUGAUGAAUGGCUAUUGUUAUUAUUCUAAUAGCAAUAAUAGCUAUGUCUGCUGCUGUUUCUAAAUGCCAGGCACUCCUCUGAGGUCUAUCAUCCUCUCUUUACUGACGCUAAAGCUGAGAUUCAGCUAUUUGCCCAAGCCUCUGUGACUAGCAAAUGAAGAGCUAUUCUCAAAGUUGAGCAACUGAAGUUCCAAGCUCAGGCUUAUAGCAGAGCUAAGAGGUAAAUGUAAUGACAGCUCCCUUCUUAUAAUCCCCCUCCUAUUCAGCCCUCCAUAGAAUAACUUUUUCCCAUGGAUUUAUACUGUAUUUAUGGCAAUAUAGAACUAUAAAUUUUGACUUGCUCUACUUUUAUUCUGAAGCUGGCUAGUUUAUUUGACAAAUAUCUGAAAUGCCACCUGUUGGAUUGGAAUUCUAUAGUGUAAUAAAUUUAUGUCAAAUACAUGUACA